ensembl:lncRNA
GCCUAGUCAACUGAGUGGGGUCUGGGGAGGGAUGGCCUGGAUUUAAAUCUCUGUUCCUCGGCUUGCUGGCCUCAUCACGUGAGAAGGUUGGGUAACUUCUGUAAACCGAAGCUUCCGGAUUUAGAAAACGGGAUUAAAAUUGCACAUACCUCCCCAAGGGUUUUGUGAGGAGGAAGGAGGAGAAUGAAGGUAAAGCCAGCUGCUGCACCAGAGGCUGGCUUCAGUGGAGCUGCCAGCCCGUAAGAGGCAGGGUCUCCAAGCCCAGCUGGAGGCGGUGGUCAGAGUGUGCAGGCCCAGGCAGGCCUGCGCAGAGCAACAGAGCACUUGGCCUUGAAGGGACCAUCUGAUGAGGCUUGUAGCUUGUGGUGAGGAGGCAGGUUAGGGCCCGCGUGGCCUCCCCGGAGCAGAGGAGCCGCAGGGCGGCCGACAGAAGCUCCUCUGGAAAAGGAAUCCAUCCAGCCUGGUUCUGAACCCAAAACAGUCUCCCUCCCUUGGGACAGGAGGAGCAUGGCGGCCCCUCUGCAUGACGCAGACUCCUAGACCAAGGCAAGGCUCCUCCUAUGCAUGCAGCUCCCAGCGUCUCCGCCCGUGGGGGUAGGAGAGGCCUUGGGGCUUCUCUGGAAACUACCAGAGUGAGCUGGGUGUCAAGGGCUAAGGAGGGAGGAGGCCUCUGGGCAGGAAGCACGGGACUCCUGGUGCCCAGCCACACCCAGGCAGGCGGCCCUCGUGCCUGGCUGCUGCCCAGACCUCUACCAAAGGCCAGCCCUUCCCUAGCAGUGUGGUUUAUUUUUUUCUUUGAAUCACCAAUAACAGGGCAGCCUUCUGCAGAGGCUUCCUGAAGCCCACCUUUACAUCUCCAAGGCCAAAGUCCAAACUCCUUGGCCUGGCAGCCAGGUCCCUUACCACCUGGGCCUGCCUGGCUCUGUGAAACCGAGCCCCUGUAGCUCCUCUGCCUCCCCUCACCUUCCCUUCGUGCUGGCUGGUCUCUGCACCGGGAAGUGCACUUGCUUCCACACCUCCAGGCCCAGUGGUUCCAGAACUUCAGUAAAUACGAGGCUCCUUCAAAGAGAAAAGGCUGAUACAGCUCAAGCCUAUCAAGCCAAGCCCGGCACUUGUGGAGUCCCCGCCAGGACUUGAACGCCAUCUCGUCCUCCAAACUGGGCUUGGCAUUAUUAUUAGCUCCAUUCUGCAGCUGGGGUUUCUGAAGCCAAAGCCAAAGAGCUGGUUGCUGCCACCUCCUUCUCAACAGCACGUAUCUCCCAAGUCCCAGGGCACACUCCGGCCUCCCCACUGCGUGCAAGGACCUUGGGUGCCGGGAGCAGGAGCUCGGCAACCAGAAAUCUCAGCUUUGGGCCGUGCAUGGAGAGGCUGGGUGAUGAACUGGGUCAAGGAUGGGCCCCCAGCGCUGGCGCACGGUUCCUCCACCCCUACCCCUUCCAGCAGCCUCUCUCUGCCUGGACAUCUGCAGGCCAAGGAGCCCAGCGCUUACCCCCUCCCUGUGCUGCACAGACCACUCAGGGGUCCCGUGGGUUCCUGCUGUGACUGGCCCAUGCAGGUCCUCUUGCACCCCAGCAGUUUUGCAGACGAAACAACAUGCAGAGAAGCAAACGGGAAAAAAGGCAAAUGGUAUCAGUGCUUCUGCUAUGUGUCAGUCACUGCAUCACCUUAUUAAUCCUACAACGUGCCGUGUGUCAGUCACUACACCAUCUUAUUAAUCCUACAACGUGCCGUGUGUCAGUCACUACACCAUAUUCUUAAUCCUACAACAUGCCAUGGGUCGGUCACUACACCACCUUAUUAAUCCUACAACAUGCCAUGUGUCAGUCACUACACCAUCUUAUUAAUCCUACAACAUGCCGUGUGUCAGGUCACUUACACCAUUUUGUUAAUCCCCUACAACAACCACCUCUUUAUCAAGGAAUAAACCAGAGCCUGGACUAGGUCAAGUUCCCAAGGUCACACAGCUGAUAGAGGGCCA